rnacentral:rRNA from 1 species
AAUGGAUGGCGCUGGAGCGUCGUGCCUAUACUCGGCCGUCUGCGGCAAAGUGGGGCCGGUCAUCGGUGCUCGGUCCCGGCAAGCCCAGACGAGUAGGGUGGCGAUGCGGUGUGCUUUGAAGGGCAGGUCGCGAGACCGCCUGGAGCCGCCGUAUGUGCAGAUCUUGGUGGUAGUAGCAAAUACUCGAGAGGGGCCCUCGGGGGCUGCCGUGGAGAAGGGUUUCUUGUGAACAGCCGUUGUCCAAGAGUCAGUCGAUCCUAAGCCCGGGGAGAGAUCCUAAUCGCCCGGGCGAGAGGGAAUCCGGUCCGUAUUCCGGAACCCGACGCGGAACCGCUCUGUUCGGGGCUCUUGUCUCGUUCGGGCGACCGGAAUGAACCAGAAGAAGCCGCCGGGGGGUCCGGGAAGAGUUCUCUUUUCUCUGUGAGCGUUGUACGUCCCUGGAAUCCUCUAGCCGGGCGAUAGGGACGCGAGCGCGAAGAGCACCGCUUGCGGCGGUGUCCGUGACCCCCACGCGGACCUUGAAAAUUCUGGUGAGAGCCACGCGGAGUCUCGCGUCGGUUCGUACCGAUAUCCGCAGCAGGUCUCCGAGGUGAGCAGCCUCUAGCCGCAUA